GCCCCACCUUCCGCUCGCGCAGGGGGCGGAGCCUCGCCCUGGCGCGGCGAGCUGUCCAGAUUGAUAGAUGACACUUGCCUAGAGAGAGGGUGGCGGAGAAACUGUGGUCUCGUAACCAGGUCGUCUUGCCACCCGGAAGGUUUGUUUCCCAGCCCGGCGAUGAAGUGUGACUUGCUUCCAGCCUUGUGUGAUGCUCUGGAGCUGCGAAGGCCUGGAUUUAAUCCGUGCGACUUCAGAUACCCUCGUGACCUUGAGCAGCUUACUUCAUGAAGGGUAUUGUUCAGCAUCACUCUACGAGGCAGACCCUUUUGAAUUUCUCUCUCUCCAUUUACGUUACAACAGGAUAUUCCUUAGGCCCUUUAAAAAUCUAGAAAUGAGAAACAGCCGCGUGGGUCCUGUGGGCAGUGCGCCUUCUCCAGAGCUGCAGCUUAUUGACCCUGCGCCAACGCGAGUCGGGUUCAUGAUGAUGCACAGCUGAAGGGACUGAGUGCGCUAGGGAGGAAACUCUAGAAACUAUUGCUAUGGAGGGGAAAAAGAGAGAGAAGGAACAGCUCUGUAAACUCUUUAUUGGUGCCUUAAACUUUGAAACCGCUGAAGAAACUUUGAGAAACUACCAAGAGCAAUGGGGAAAGCUCACGCGCUGUGUGGUAAUGAAGGAUCCUUGCAAGCCAAAGACCAAGAGGAUUUGGUCAGGUAACUUUCCUCAUCCAUGGCUGGGGUAGAUACUGCCAUGGUUGCAAGGCCUCAUUCCAUUGAUGAGAGAGUUGUUGAGCCAAAAUGCAGUUGCCAAAGAAGAAAACCUGGAGCCCAUGGGACUGUGAAGAAACUGAUUGUUCGUGGAAUUAAGGAAGAUACAGAUGAUGUUAAAUUUGUAUGUUUCAGGUGACAUGUGAAAGAUUUUUAAAGAUUUCUCUCAACGUUUUGAAAAGCUAUUAGCCAGGA